rnacentral:lncRNA from 1 species
AAAGGCUACCUUCCAUUCUUUUGUCUGCAAUGUAACAUACAAUAUGAAAUAUAGAGCAGGAAAAUGCUGUCACUCAAAUUAAAGGAGGAGAAAGGUCCUACCAGCCCAGAUUCAGACUUAACAUUGCAAGAACUCAUUUAAUGCAGAAAAUGGAUUGUCUUCCAGCUGUAAAACAAAACUACAGUGCCAGGGAAAAUGACAACCUGUGGUGCCCAGAAUCACCCUGUGGAAGGAAGAUGGAAUUGAGCAUUAAACAAGAUGGUGGGAUGGAGACAGAAGAGAGGAGAG